GACGAACGCUGGCGGCGUGCCUAAUACAUGCAAGUCGAACGCAGUGGGGACGGGUGAGUAACACGUGGGUAACCUCCCAUCAGAGGGGAUAACACUUGGAAACAGGUGCUAAACCGAUACUGAUGGAUGGACCCGCGGUGCAUUAGCUAGUUGGGGAGGUAACGGCUCACCAAGGCAACGAUGCAUAGCCGACCGUAGAGGGUGAUCGGCCACAUGGUGACUGAGAAACGGCCCAGACUCCGACGGGAGGCAGCAGUAGGGAAUCGUCGGCAAGUGACUAAAGUCUGACCGAGCAACGCCGCGUGAGUGAAGAAGUUUUUCGGAUCGUAAAACUCUGUUGUUAGAGAAGCGGUAUCUAACCAGAAAGCCACGGCUAACUACGUGCCAGCCGCCGCGGUAAUAC
rnacentral:rRNA from 1 species